rnacentral:rRNA from 1 species
GUGCCAGCCGCCGCGGUAAUACGUAGGUGGCAAGCGUUGUCCGGAUUUACUGGGCGUAAAGGGCGUGCAGGCGGUUCGUUAAGUUCAGGGUGAAAGCUCCCGGCUCAACUGGGAGAGGUCUCUGGAUACUGGCGGACUUGAGGGAGGCAGAGGAGAGUGGAAUUCCCGGUGUAGUGGUGAUAUGCGUAGAUAUCGGGAGGAACACCAGUGGCGAAGGCGGCUCUCUGGGCCUUACCUGACGCUGAGACGCGAAAGCGUGGGGAGCGAACCGGAUUAGAAACCCCAGUAGUCC